AUAAGGUGGCUGUGGCGGUGGUGGUGGUGGUGACGGCGGCGGUGGCGGUGGCGGCGGCGGCGGCGGCGGCGGCGGCGGCGAAUACCCUGCAGGUCCUCAACACAACCACGCAGGACAGCUUGUAGGAUACCUGAAGGCGGGUCGAAGCGGUGACAUCCUGAGAGACAGAAAAGCAAAACAGAGACGUGUCCAAGUGUCCCAGCAUCCCUGAGCCUCUGUCAUCGCGGAGACUCGAAGAAGCGAUCCCAGUACGGCCACACACAUCCCGCGGCUCCUUCUCCUCUUCCUCUCAGAUUCUUCAUAGCACCUGGCCCAAUGGUAACCCUGCGUGAGCCGCCCCGCCGCCCCCUGCGUGAGGAGGAACCCCCUGGCGCGCCGCUCUCCUCGCCUCCGUCACUCAAUAAUCCGAUGGGACGUGCGGGAGGCGAAUACUGUCAAGGAUUAAGCAAGGUGUGAUUGGCGGCGCCGCUACACCAGGAGAGUCUGGCUUAUCUGUCCCAGCGGUGUCCAAUCAGUGUGGAAGGUGUUCUCUUGGCGUCACGUUAGCGGCGCACGGCACGACACGGUACGGCACGGCAAUGAACGGGAUGGGACGGCACGGGGAUGGGAAGGCACGAUGCGAGACUACCGGAAGGGACAGUACAGCACGGGACGGGACGGGACGGGAGUGGUUCUAUGAAGCGGACUAACAAAAAGACACCCCGGAAACCCAGUAAAUGCAUCCUUGAUAACUAAACUGGCACAACUAGAACACCCUGUAAAUCCACGGUCGCCUCAACUUGUUAUUCCCUUGAUAACGAAACUAACACAACACCCUGUAAAUCUAACGUUGCCUCAGCUUGUUAUUCCUUCACGCUAAGACUGAUAGUACAUUCAUGACUCUAAGCGGGAAGGUAAUGAAUAAAACUUCUGUGUCUCUUCUUGUGAUGCGUGACUGGA